GUGAGGAAUAUUGGUCAAUGGGCGGGAGCCUGAACCAGCCAAGUCGCGUGAGGGAGGAAGGUCCUACGGAUUGUAAACCUCUUUAGCCGGGGAGCAACGUGCGCCACGCGUGGCGCAGUGAGAGUACCCGGAGAAUAAGCAUCGGCUAACUCCGUGCCAGCAGCCGCGGUAAUACGGAGGAUGCGAGCGUUAUCCGGAUUUAUUGGGUUUAAAGGGUGCGCAGGCGGCGCGAAAAGUCAGCGGUCAAAGUUCCGGGCUCAACCCGGUGACGCCGUUGAAACUUUCGUGCUGGAGUUCGUGCGAGGGAGGCGGAAUGCGUUGUGUAGCGGUGAAAUGCAUAGAUAUGACGCAGAACCCCGAUUGCGAAGGCAGCUUUCCAGCACGCGACUGACGCUGAGGCACGAAAGCGUGGGGAGCGAACAGGAUUAGAAACCCUAGUAGUCC
rnacentral:rRNA from 1 species